rnacentral:lncRNA from 10 species
CACACACAUAUAUAUAUAUAUGUAUAUAUCUCUUACAAAACACUGUAAGGUAGAGAUUAUUACUAUCUUCUUUUUUUUUUAGAGAGUCUCGCUGUGUCGCCCAGGCAGGAGUGCUGUGGCACGGUCGGCUCACUGCAAACUCUGCCUUUCUAGUUCAAGUGAUUCUCCUGCCUCAGCCUCCCGAGUAGCCGGGAUUACAGGCACAUUCCACCACACCCCGCUAAUUCUCGAAUUCCUGACCUCAGGUGAUCCGCCUGGCUCCACCUCCCAAAGUGUUGGGAUUACAGGCAUGAGCUACCAUGCCCAGCCUACUAUCUUCAUUUUAAAUAUGAAGAGAGUUAAGAGACGUUAAGAAAUUUGUCAAGAGACAGAUCUGGAAUCACAACCCAGGAUCAAUAGAAAAAGUGUUGUAUUUUAUGGCUGUCUUGAAGAGAAUUUCUGGACACCUGUUCUGGCAUGCUUCCACCCAUCUUUAAGGAAUGUGAUUCUCAGUUUGAACUGGUUAAAACUUUGAAGCUAGCAGGCAGUUGGGGACAGUGACUUUGUCCACAACAAAUCCUAUAUAUUAGUCAGCUCAGGCCACCAUAACGAGAUACCACAGACUAGGUGGUUUAUACAACAAACUUUAUUUUCUCUCAGUUUUGGAGGCUGGAAGUCCAAGAUCGAAAUUCCCUAGUGUUACUUUCCAGUAAGACCUUGCUCUUUCUGGCUUUCAGAUGGCUGUUUUCACAUUGUUUUCAUUUGUGUGUACAGAGAGAGAGAGAGAGAUCCUUGAUCUCUGGUGUUUCUGCCCCUUCUUAUAAGAAUACCAGACCUAUUGGAUCAAGACUUCACUCUUAUAAUCUCAUUUAAGCUCAGUUACCUCCUUAAUGGCCCUAUCUCCAAAUACAGUCACAUUGGGGGUUAAGACUUUAACAUGAAUUUGGGGUAGGAAGGACACAUUUCAGCCUAUAACAUUCUGGAUGGGAGCAUCAUGACUGUUGUGAUAGGUGCUUCCUGGCAUUAUGCUAAAAUAUGGACAUGCUGCUUUCCUCACUGCAACAUUCCUUUUUUAAUCAAAGUAAAAACUUUUCUAGAAAACAGAAAGCUGCACCCACCUUCCCCUCCAGAAGGAAACCAAGUUAUCAACUAUCUACAGAGAAAAAACACCUCCAUAAGAACUAAAUAUUAGGUGAGCACUCACUGUAUCUGGUGUUAACUUCAUAUCACAGAAAGGCACUGAAGAGAUAGAAAAAACAGUCCUGAAUCACAGACGCUACCCCUCCCCUACCACAGGUAGGGGAGACAUAGUGUGGAGAGUAUCUUUGGGUGCUGGAGAAGAAAGAACACAGCAAUUGUGAGGCAUCAAACUCCGUGCUGUUCUGCUAGAGCAGAAAGGAAAACCAGACCAAACUCAGCUGAUGCCCAUCCACAGAAGGAGCAUUUAAGCCAGCCCUAGCCAGAAGGAAAUCCCUGAUUCCAGUCGGCAGAACUUGAGUGCACGCAAAUCUUGCCACUGAGGGCCAAAGUGCUCUCAGUCUCUAAGUAAAUUUGACAGGCAAUGUAGGCCAUAAGCACUGUAACUCUUAGGUGAGUCCCAGGGCUAAACAAGGACCAGGGACAGUGGACUAGGGAGGCAAAUGGCAUUCUGAAAUACCAGAUGGGGCAGCCAAUGUAGUUCUGGCAUCACUCAUCCCCUAACCCAACGCUUCACAGCUCACGGCUCCAAAAAAGGCCCCUUCCUUCCACUUAAGGAGAGGAGAGGGAAGAGUGGGGAGGAAUUUGUCUGGUAUCUUGGAUACCAGCUCAGCCACAGCAGGAUAGGCACCUGUCAGACUCACAAGUUCCUGAUUCCAAAUCCUAGCUCCCAGACAACAUUUCUAGACACACCCUGGGCCAGAAAGGAACCCAUUGCCUUAAAAGGAAGAACCCAGCAUUCUGCCAGCAUUCAUCACCUGCUAACUGGAGAGCCUUUGGGCCCUGAAUAACCAGCAGCAAUACCCAGGUACUACACAGAGGGCCUUGGUAAGCCUCUGAGACAUGCAGGAUUCAGGUGAGACUCAGCACCCUACCAGCUGUCGGGGCUAUAGAGCAAAAUUCCUUCUGCAUCAAAAAAGCAGAGAGAAAAGUAAAGGGGACUUUAUCAUGCACCUUAGAUACCAACACCACCACAGGAAGACAGAGCACCAAGUGGGGUGCCUGAUUCCAGGACUUGACUCUUGGACACUAUUUCCAGACCUGCACUGGGCCAGAGAGGAGCCCACUACCCUGAAGAGUGAGUCCCAAGCCAGACAACAUUUAGCACAAGCUGACUUAAGAGACCUUGAGCCUUAAGAAAAUGUCAUUGGUAGACUGGCAGCACACCUCAUGGCCAGGGGUGGCAGUGGCUACAAAAUGAGGCAUCUCUGCUUUUGGAAACAGGAGGGAUGAGUGGAAAGGACUAUAUCUUAUGGUUUGAAUGCCAGCUCAGCUGCAACAAAAUGGAACACCAGGUAGACUUCUAAGGUUUUGACUCUAGACCCUGACUCCCAGACAGCACUUCUGGACCCACCCAGGGCCUGGGGGACCUUGUCAUCCUGAAGGGAAGGACAUAGGCCUGGAUGGCUUUGCCACCUGCUGAAUGUACAGCCCCAGGGCCUCGAGCAAACAUAGGCUGUAGCCAGGGAGUGAUUACUGCAGGCCUUGGGCAAGACCCAGUGCUGUGAUAGCUUAAGGUCUGACCCAGCAGAGUCACAGUGGUGGUGAACUCAAGGGUGGUUGUGCCAUUCCACCCCCAGCUUUAGGUGGCUCAGAACAGAGAGAGAGACCCUGUAUGUUUUGAAGAAAGUAAGAGAAGAGAACAAAGGUUUCUGCCUGGUAAUCCAGAUAAUUCUCCUGGAUCUUGUCCAAGACCAUGAAGGUGGUACCUCUGUGAGCCACAAGAACCACAGCACUGGGCUUAGGGUGCCUGCUAAAGCAGAAAUAGCUUAAAUCACAAUACCAAGUUAUUUCAAAUAUCUGGAAAGCCUUCCCAAGAAGGAUGGCUACAAAUAAGACCAGAGAGUGAAGACUAGAAUAAAUACCUAACUCUUCAAUGCACAGAUACCAAAGAACAUCUACUAGCAUCAACACCAUCCAGGAAAACAUGACCUCAUCAAAUGAACUAAAUAAGCCACCAGAGACGAAUCCUGGAGAAACAGAUAUGUGAGCUUUCAGACAGAGAAUUCAAAACAGAUGUGUUAAGGAAACAAAAAAUUUCAAAGGCAACACAGAGAAGGAAUUCAGAAUUUAUAAUUAAAAUUAAAAAGAAUCAAGUAGAAAUUUUUGAGCUGGAAAAUGCAAUUGGCAUACUGAAGAAUGCAUCAUAGUCCUUUAGUAGCAGAAUGCACCAAGCAGAAGAAAUAAUUAGUAAGCUUGGAGAAAGGCUAUUUGAAAAUACACAGAGAAGACAAAAGAAAAAGUAAUGAGAAACAAUGAAGCACACUUACAGAAGCUAUAAAAUAAACUCGAAAGGGCAAAUCUAAAAGAUAUUGGCCUAUAAGAAGAGGUAGAGGAAGAUAUAGGGUUAGAAAAUUUAUUCAAAAGCAUAGUAACAGAGAUCUUUCCAAACCCAGAAAAAGAUAUCAAUAUCCAAGUACAAGAAAAUUAUAGAACACCAAGAAGAUAUCUCAAAGCAUUUAAUAAUCAAACUCCCAAAGGUCAAGAAUAAAGAAAGGAUUCUAAAAGCAGCAAGAGAAAAGAAACAAAUGACACACAAUGGAGCUUCAAUACACCUGGCAGCAGGCUUUUCUGUGCAAACAUUACAGGCCAGGAGAAAAAGGCAUGACAUGUUUAAACUGCCAAAAGGAAAAAAAUAAAAUUUUACCCUAGAAUUGUAUAACUGGCAAAAAUGUCCUUCAGACACAAAGGAGAAAUAAAGACUUUCCCAGACAAACAAAAGCUAAGGGAUCUCAUCAAUACCAGAGCAGUCCUACAAGAAGUGCUAAAGAAAGUACAUCAAUCAGAAAGAAAAGUACAUUGAUGAGUAAUAAAUAAUCACCUGAAGGUACAAAACUUACUGGUAAUAGUAAGUACAGAGAAAAAUAAAGAAUACUAUAACACUGUAAUUGUGGUAUAUAAAUUACUCUUAUCCUAAGUAGAAAGACUUAAGGAAAAACCAGUCAAAAAUAAUGAAUACAACUUUUCAAGACACAGUCAGAACAAUAAGACACAAGUAGGAAUAACAAAAAGGUAAAAAGCAGGGAGAUGAGGUUAAGAAGAGUUUUUAUUUUUUUCUUUUUGCUUGCUUACUUACUUGUUUGUUUAUGCAAACAGUGUUAAGUUUUUAUCAAGUUAAAAUAAUGGGCUAUAAAAUAUUAUUUUCAGGACUCGCAGUAACUUCAAACCAAAUAAUAUACAAUAGAUACACAAAAAUAAAAAGAAAGAAACUAAAUAAUAUUACCAGAGAAAAUCAUCUUCAUUAAAACAAUGGAAGGAAGGAAAGAAAAAAGUAAGAGAAGGCCACAAAGCAACCAGAAAACACAUAACAAAGUGGCAUGAGUAAGUUCUUAUUAACAAUAAUAGUAUUCAAUGUAAAAAACUAAAUUCUCUAAUCAAAAGACAUACACUGGCUGAAUAAAUGAAAAAACAAGACCCAUUGAUCUAUUGCCUACAAGAAACACACUUCACCUAUGAAGACCCACAUAGACUGAAAAUAAAGAAAUAGAAAAAGAUAGUCCAUGCCAAUGGAAAGCAAAAAUGGGCAGGAGUCACGGUAUUUAUAUCAGACAAAAUAAAUUCCAAGACAAAAACUAUAAGAGGAGACAAACAAGGUCACUAUACAAUGAUAAAGGGGUCAGUUCAGUAAGAGGACAUAAAAAUUUUAAUAUAUAUCCACUCAACACUGAAGCACCCAGAUAUAAAAAGGAAAUAUUAGAGCCAAACAGAGAGGCCCCAAUACAUUAAUAGCUGGGGACCUUGACACUCUACUUUCAGCAUUGCACAGAUCUUCCAGACAAAGAAUCAACACAGAAACAUCAGAUUUGGUCUGCAAUACAAACCAAAUGGGACUAAUACAUGUUUACAAAACAUUUCAUCCAGUGGUUGCAGAAUACACAUUCUUUUCCUCAGCACAUGGAUCAUUCUCAAGGACAGAGCAUAUGUCAGGUCACAAAACAAAUCCUAAAACAUUCAAAGCAUUGAAAUAAUAUCAAGCAUCUUCUCUGCUUACAAUGGAAUAAAACUAGAGAUCAGUAACAAGAGGAAUUUUAGAAACGAUGCAAAUACAUGGAAAUUAAACAAUAUGCUCCUUAACGACCAGUGGAUCAAUGAAGAAAUUAUGAAGAAAAUUGAAAACAGAGAUAUAGAUCAAUGGAACAGAACAGAGCCCUCAGAAACAAUGCCGCAUAUCUACAACUAUCUGAUCUUUGACAAACCUGACAAAAACAAGC